UGCCCAGCAACUCCUAUCCCUACCUCCUCGCGGUACCGGCCGGAAACUAUGAGCAACUGUGCACUAUGGUCCUCCGGAAAGUAGG
rnacentral:ribozyme from 1 species